CCUACGUGAGGCAGCAGUGGGGAAUAUUUCGCAAUGGGCGAAAGCCUGACGCAGCGACGCCGCGUGAGGGAUGAAGGUCUUCGGAUCGUAAACCUCUGUCAGCAGGGAAGAACGGUCACUGUGCUAAUCAGCAGUGAAUUGACGGUACCUGCAAAUGAAGCACCGGCUAACUCCGUGCCAGCAGCCGCGGUAAUACGGAGGGUGCGAGCGUUAAUCGGAAUUACUGGGCGUAAAGCGCUCGUAGGCGGUAUGUCAAGUCAAGGGUGAAAUCCCCGCGCUCAACGUGGGAACUGCCUUUGAAACGGGCAAACUGGAGUGUGUGAGAGGAUAGUGGAAUUCCAGGUGUAGGAGUGAAAUCCGUAGAUAUCUGGAGGAACAUCAGUGGCGAAGGCGACUAUCUGGCACAUAACUGACGCUGAGGAGCGAAAGCGUGGGUAGCAAACAGGAUUAGAUACCCCAGUAGUC
rnacentral:rRNA from 1 species